rnacentral:tRNA from 1 species
GCACUCAUAGCUCAAUUGGAUAGAGUACUUGACUACGAAUCAAGCGGUUAGAGGUUCGACUCCUCUUGGGUGCG